CAUGGGGUGUCGGGAAAGAUUUCAUCGGUAUGGGAUGGGGUCGCGUCCUAUCAGGUAGUCGGCGGGGUAACGGCCCACCGAGCCUACGACGGGUAGCCGGCCUGAGAGGGCGACCGGCCACAUUGGGACUGAGAUACGGCCCAGACUCCUACGGGAGGCAGCAGUGGGGAAUAUUGCACAAUGGGCGCAAGCCUGAUGCAGCGACGCCGCGUGCGGGAUGACGGCCUUCGGGUUGUAAACCGCUUUUGAUCGGGAGCAAGCCUUCGGGUGAGUGUACCUUUCGAAUAAGCACCGGCUAACUACGUGCCAGCAGCCGCGGUAAUACGUAGGGUGCAAGCGUUAUCCGGAAUUAUUGGGCGUAAAGGGCUCGUAGGCGGUUCGUCGCGUCCGGUGUGAAAGUCCAUCGCUUAACGGUGGAUCUGCGCCGGGUACGGGCGGG
rnacentral:rRNA from 1 species